GCGGAAGGUGGAAGGCAGAAGGCGGAAGGUGGAAGGUGGAAGAAGGUGGAAGGCGGAAGGUGGAAGGAAGGCAGAAGGCGGAAGGCGGAAGGUGGAAGGUGGAAGCUCGAAGGUGGAAGAAGGUGGAAGGUGGAAGGUCGAAGGUGGAAGAAGGUCGAAGGUGGAAGGCGGAAGGUGGAAGGUGGAAGAAGGUCGAAGGCGGAAGGUGGAAGGUGGAAGGAAGGUAGAAGGUGGAAGGUGGAAGGUGGAAGAAGGUGGAAGGUGGAAGGUGGAAGGUGGAAGAAGGUGGAAGAAGGUGGAAGGUGGAAGAAGGUGGAAGGUGGAAGGUGGAAGAAGGUGGAAGGUGGAAGGUGGAAGGAAGGUGGAAGACAGAAGGUGGAAGGCGGAAGGCGGAAGGUUGAAGGUGGAAGGUGGAAGGUGGAAGGAAGGUGGAAGGUGGAAGGCAGAAGGCGGAAGGUGGAAGGUGGAAGGUCGAAGGUGGAAGAAGGUCGAAGGUGGAAGGCGGAAGGCAGAAGGCGGAAGGUGGAAGGUGGAUGGUGGAAGGUACCAAAAAAAACAAAAAACAAAAAUUAGCCGAGCGUGGUGGCACACGCCUGUAGUUCAGCUGCUCAGGAGGCAGAGGUGGGAGAAUACCUUGAGCUUGGCAGGCAGAAAUUGCAGUGAGCUGCCACUGCACUCCAGCCUGGGCACCAGAGUAAGACCCUGUCUCAAAAAAAAAAAAAAAAAAAAAAAAAAAAAAAAAAAAAAAAAAGAAUAGGCAAAUCCAUAGAGACCAAAAGGAGAGUCGUGGUUCCAGUGCUGGAGGUGGGGAGAAUUGGGAGUGACUGAUAAUGGGUGAGGUUCCUUUCUAGGGUGAGGAAAAUGCUCUGGAAUUAGGUAGUGGCAAUGGUUGCACAGCCCUGUGGAUAUACCAGCACCAGUGAAUCGAAUACUCAGAUGGGCACUGAGAAUCUGAGGCUGGCCGACUUAUAGCCUCUACUCCUCUUUCCACUUCAACAUCUGGGGCUCUCCCUUCUCCCUACUUCCCAAAGCAUCUCCACUCCCUGUUUAAUUGUGACCAUCCCUAGAGGGCUGGCAACAGGUUUCUUUCCAAAGCAGCUCUGCAGGGUUUGCCCCGCCCCUCCCUCUCAUACCCAACCCCCUCCUCUUUGUACCCAGACCGUUUACUUAUUAAACCAAUUAAAUUAAAUGACUCACAUUGCACCCUUGGGCAUGAGGCGGGUAAACAGCUCACCAGAGUCUGACUUGCUCUUGAAAGGGCCCGUUUCCCUCCCAGCCCAGCCAACUCCCCUGACCAGCCCCCCAGCGUCCAACCCCCCCAUGGAGUGUCUCUCAGGUCACAGUAGGAAGAGGAUCGGGGGAGCUGCUAGCCCUUCCCAUUGUGCUUUCUCACCCCAAGGAAGGCCACACCCCCUCAAAGAGUUGACACAAUAGUCUUCUUAUUCCACUGCUUACAAAGCCAGCAGGCAGCUAGCUCAGCAUGGCAGAAAUCAUCUGGAGCCCUCUUGCCCGC
rnacentral:lncRNA from 1 species